ACUUAGCUGGCUCAGUUGGUAGAGUGUGGGACUCUUGAUCUCAGGAUUGUGAGUUCGAGCCCCACAAUGGGUA
rnacentral:tRNA from 1 species